UACAGAGGGUGCAAGCGUUAAUCGGAAUUACUGGGCGUAAAGCGUGUGUAGGUGGUUUGCUAAGUCAGGUGUGAAAUCCCUGGGCUCAACCUAGGAAUUGCAUUUGAUACUGGCAGACUAGAGUCCGGGAGAGGAGAAUGGAAUUCCUGGUGUAGCGGUGAAAUGCGCAGAUAUCAGGAAGAACACCCGUGGCGAAGGCGGUUCUCUGGGACGGUACUGACGCUGAGACGCGAAAGCGUGGGGAGCGAACAGG
rnacentral:rRNA from 1 species